CAUUAAGUCGAUUGAUCUGGUGUUGACACGUGUCCGACUCUAAGUAAGUUUCUUCGAUUUUCGUUUUGAUUGUAUAUGGGCUUUUAAUUUAAGAUGAACUGCACUUACUGGGCCAACUAUCGACAAACCCAUAUCAACCCAUAUCAUCAUCGUUGUCCCCUCGCAUUUCCUAGCUCCCACAAUCUUUUCGACGCCAUUGAAACGUCAUAUUCAAUCUAUAUUCAAUCUAUCUAAUAAAGCUUCAUGUUUAUGAACCCAAACCUAUUUAGCAUUUAAUUAUUCAGCCCCACCGCCUUUGAAAUUCUCAUAAUUGUUUGUAUAAAUACGGAUGUUGUCUUCCAUGAUUCUCAUCAUUUCAUCAUGUUCUUCACAAUUUUUUUCCUCUGAAUUGCUGUUUACCGCAGUGACAUUGUAAUGACCCACCACUCCCACCAUCUCCACUUCUUUCUCCAACCCCACCACUUCCACCUUCUUCUCCACCAUCUCCACCUUCUUCCCCACCAUCCCCAUCUUCUUUAAAGCUUGAGAAAGAGAGAGAGAGAGAAAGAGAGAGAGAAAGAGAGAGAGAAGAAGGAGAAAGAAGGGAGAAAGCUCACCUGAACUCGUCGCCGGAGCAACCGUGCGCCAUGACCACGUUCAGCUUGCCACCACCGAUAAACACCCUAGACCACCAUCGUGUUCCUCUCAUCGAGACGAAGCCGUAGACACCAACCACGCCUCAAUCGGAGCCCGGACGAAGCCUCACGCGCCUCCGGAAGUUUCGCCUCUGCGCGCGCAUGAAGUACAUGCGCCGCCGCCGGAAAACGUCGCCACCGCCGGACCACCGUCCCCCGCCGUCGGAAUACCGCCGUCGCCGCCGACAACCGCCGCCGGAAUACCGCCGUCGCCGCCGGUGACCGACACCGGUGACUCGCCGGCGACUCGGACAACUCGGCCGAGUCAACUCAAUAUGGAGUCUAUUUGAGCAGCUGGAGUUCAUAGACAACACUUUUCUAUUGCUAAGGUGAGACAAACAAGUAUGUGAUAUUUGGACGGACUUGGUGCUAUUGGACUUUUCUUUCGGAUUUUAUUUGGGCAUGGGUGAGAGUUGUCGGGUUUAUGGGCUUUUAUAUUACGGGAUAUUGUUGGUGGCCCGUCGUCCUUAGUGUCAGGGAGACGGGUGUCACAUUGUUGUAUGAUGACGCGUCGGGGGUGACACGCUGUCCUCCAUAUAGGAGGUGACGGGUGUCACAAUUUGGUAUCAGAGCGGGUUCCAUCCCGGUUCCGUCCCGGGAUGGCGGUCAGGGGAUUCGGUUUUCAUCGGUUUUCAAAGUUCUUUUUGUUUUAAAAAAUAUAUAUUUAUUUAUAUAUUUGGAAAUUCUUUUAGCACCAUUAUGUCCAGUAAUUACUAACUCAAUUGUCUCUUUCAAUGACGAUGAGUAAAAAUCAUCGUCAUUCGUCCUUCGACUAACAAGGUUCUCGACAGAUGUUCAGCAGUUGCGUGAAGUCCAAGUUCGUCAGUUUUCUCGGGAGUUAUCAGUUCUUCGGUCAUGAUUUCGAGGCUAUCCAGGAGUGGAUAUGUGACGUUUCUGCCACCAGCCCACUUCAAGCAAUCGUUCCACGAGUUUUGUUACUGGAGACUAUGUGGUGUGUGGUAUGAGCCAUUGGUUGGCAUGUGUUGUUGUGUGUACGAGUAUAUUGACUAUUUUGGAGAUAUAUUUGUUUUGUGAACUCGUGGAGAUCGCUUUUGAAUUGGGGUGCAGCAGCUUGCGUUGUGUGGGUGUUGGAGUUACACUUUGGUAUGUUUACCAAUUUUGGCAGUGUUGAUCGUUUCAGAAAUGUGUCAGUUUGGACAACUGACAUAGGACAUUGGGAGCUAUUUAUAUCCAUCGCAGUGUACCAGUUAUGCUUGGAGGGCCGAUUUGUUCGGAUAUUCAUCAGAGAUGGAGCUACGUUUUUACGAUGUUAUCCUUGGGAUGGAUUGACUGUCACGGCAUCAAGUAGUGUUGGAUUGCCUGAGGGCAAGAGUUUCGAUUGCUGGAGCAGAUGGAAGUUGUUAGUGCAUGCAUGCUACAUACUGAGGAGUUAUGGGAUAUAAGAACAGAGAGAUUUUUGGCUACCAUUUCAAUGGUUAAGGAUGAUGGACAGCAUGGGCUGCAGGAUCUUCCGGUUAUUGCAGAGUAUGAGGAUAUAUUUGUGACCUUUGGAAAGGCCACCACAAGACACAUGAGACGCUCUUGCAAUUUUAUUUUAUUUUGGAGCAAACAGCACUGGUUUCACGAGUUUCUUAUCGUCUAUCACCAGCAUGGAUGACUGAGUUGAGAAAGCGAUUGGAGGAACUCUUUGAUAAGGGAUUUAUCAGAUCGAGUUCUUCCCCAUGGGGAGCAUCAUUGUUGUUGUAAAUAAGAAAGGUGGGAGUUUCAGAUUUUAUAUUGACUACAUAAACUUGAACAUGGUAACCAUCGUAUUGACGAGUUGUUAGAAGAGCUUAAUGGAGGUUCAUCGUUCUCGAAGUUUGUCUUGGCAUCAAAGAAACCAUCAGAUUGCUAUAGCUGAGGAGUAUGUACGGAAUGCAGAUUUCCGUUAUGGAUAUUACGAGUUCGUAGUGAUACCAUUUGGGUCGACAAAGGCACUGUUGCAUUCAUGAAGAUAUGAAUGACGUUUUCGUGAACAUUUGGAUAGGUGUGCGAUUGUAUUCACCAACGACAUCCUGAUUAUUUUGGAAUAGAAAGGAGAUUUGUGAGCAUUUAGCGGAUUGCGUUGGAUAAGCCUGGAGAGCAUCAGUUGUUCGCUAAGUUGAGGAAGUGUAGCUUCUGGCAGAGGAAUGUUGUAUUUUUGGGUAACAUGGUUUUGGAAGCAGAAUUUUGAUGGAUCCAAAGAAGAUUAAUACCGUUUCGGGAAGGUCGGAACCUAAGAGCGCUACAAAGAUCAGCCGUUCUUUUUGGGUUGAUAGUUUACUACUGGAAGUUCAUCAAGGGUUUCAUCGUAAUAGUAAUGUUAAAGACGCGGUCUACAUGUAAAGACGUUAAGUGUGGUUGGAUAGAUUUUUGUUCGAGGAGUUUCACUGAAUUGAAGCACAACUAAUGAAGACACCAGUUUUGGGUUCUACUGAGGCUGAGGCUUACUGUGAUGUGUCAGAUACUGGAUUGGAUUUAAAUUGAGGUAUGAGGAUUAAGUCAUUCAUAUGCAUCACGCCAGAGAGGCUGUAGUGGUAUUUGCGUUAUAGUUUUGGAGAUCGUGAUUGUACGGGAAGGAAGUCCAGAUUCUAUGGGAUCAUUAGAGUAUGAUAUUUAUCUUCACUGAUUAAAAAUUGCACUUGGGCAGUGCAGUUGGAUUGAGUUUGUAGCAGACUAUAGUUUGGAUAUCGCAUACUACCUGAUAAGGACAACCAGGUGAUAAAUGCCUUGGGUAGGCGUAUGAGCUGUAUCUCAGGAACCAAGAAGGUUCAUGAGUUGGAGAUUUGCUAGUCUCAGGUUGGGUGCCAUUACUAUCAAUGGAGAGACAGAUGUCCUUGGGACUUUGGAGCAGACAGAUUUGCUUUGGAGGAUACACAAGCACAAGUUAGCAUUCUGGAUUGGUUGAACAGAUCGAGAUUGGGAGUAUUGGAUAUCAUACAACUCUGAGCAGGAUAUACUUGUACCGAAACCGAGUUUGUGUGUUGGACGAUAAGUUGUUAAGAAAAGGAAUCUUACAACAAACAUAUCACUCGUGUUUCUCUACGCAGCGGGAACACCAAAGGGUACAAAGAUAUGAAGAGUUAACUAUAAUUGGUGUAGUAUGAAGAUGUUUGUAACUACAUUACGUCGCGGUGCCAGACAUGUUAUAUGGCAAUGACAGAGGAUCAGUUAUCUAUUAUGUUAUUUUUGAGCUUGCUUUUGCCGGAGUAGAAAUGAGGCAUGGUGAUUAUGGACAUUGUUAUUGGAUUAUAAAUCACCAUAUGUGGAAAGGAUGCCACAUGGGUAGUCAUGGAUAGACUUACCAAGUCAGCCCAUUUCCUAAGUAAUUAAGAAGACAAUCAGAGCUAAUUAAUUGGAGCAGACCUACAUUAUUGAGUUUGGGAAGUUUCAUUGAUGUCAACAUUGUAUCGGAUUGGGAAUCGAAGUUCACAUCUACAUUUCAGAGAGCCUUUCGGAAGGCACUUGGGACAAUACAUCUUAUCACCCGUUGACAUAUUGUCAGUCAGAGAGGACUACUCAGAACUUAAAGGAUAUGUUCAGAGAUUGCGUGGGAUGGAAUUUCAGAAAGCAUCUACCUAUACCAGAGUUUGCCUAUAUCGACAGCUAUCUUUUGAGUAUUAAAAAAAAAAAUUUAUUAUAUGAGGAUUAUUUAUGGUAGACCUUAUAGUAUACCACUUUGUUGGACCAAAGUGGGGGAGCAAUAUGAGUUAGAACUAUUAAUGGUUCAAGAGACAGUAGAGCAAAGGACAUACUCAAGGAUUGGCUUUCGGAAGCCCAUGACGUCAAAAGAUUUAUGCAGCUAAGCGCCGUAAGGAUUUGGAGCUACAUAUGGACACCUAAUAUACCUGAAAUUAAGGACAUUUCAGGAGGAGCCUAAGACUCAGAAGAUAUAGGAGCUUAAACCGAGACACAUGGAAUUGUAUCCUGCACUGGAGUGGAUUGGAUUAGUUGCUUGCAGUUACUUUAUCAGCAGUAUAUCAGCCUUCUAGGACUUGGUUCAUAUGACAGCAUUGCAAAAGUUGAGAAGGCGCUAUAAUUAUUUUGCAGUUGACGUCAAGUGAGUUCAUAAAGAUUUUAUGGACCUUAUCAUCUAUUGAAGAUUUUGGAUCAUCAAGAGAAAACAGUUCGGAGAAUGUCGACCGUGCUUGUCCGAGUUCGUUGGGAGGGAGAUAAGACUCAGGAGGAGACCUGAAAGGCCGAGCGAGGAUUAGUAUUCGAGGUUUUGGAGGUUCUGCUAUGAUAACAUUGGGCAUGUCAGCUUAUGACUUGAAUUCGGGGACGAAUUCCUUAUAAGUGGGGGAGAAUUGUAAUGACCCACCACUCCCACCAUCUCCACUUCUUUCUCCAACCCCACCACUUCCACCUUCUUCUCCACCAUCUCCACCUUCUUCCCCACCAUCCCCAUCUUCUUUAAAGCUUGAGAAAGAGAGAGAGAGAGAGAGAGAGAGAAAGAGAGAGAGAAGAAGGAGAAGAAGGGAGAAAGCUCACCUGAACUCGUCGCCGGAGCAACCGUGCGCCAUGACCACGUUCAGCUUGCCACCACCGAUAAACACCCUAGACCACCAUCGUGUUCCUCUCAUCGAGACGAAGCCGUAGACACCAACCACGCCUCAAUCGGAGCCCGGACGAAGCCUCACGCGCCUCCGGAAGUUUCGCCUCUGCGCGCGCAUGAAGUACACGCGCCGCCGCCGGAAAACGUCGCCACCGCCGGACCACCGUCCCCCGCCGCCGGAAUACCGCCGUCGCCGCCGACAACCGCCGCCGGAAUACCGCCGUCGCCGCCGGUGACCGACACCGGUGACUCGCCGGCGACUCGGACAACUCGGCCGAGUCAACUCAGUGAGUCAACUCGGUUGACUCGGUUAACCGAUCGGUUAGCCGGUUUAAAUUGAUUUCGGUUCGGUUAGGGUAAACCGGUCGGUUUAGUCAAAUCGAUUUCUGGUCAAAGCUUGACCGGGUUGACUUUGACCAGCGGGUUGACUUUUCCGAAAACCUUGACCAGUUCCGUUUUCGACCGUUCGAAAGGCGUUCUGACUCAGAAUUUCGAUCUGAUUUCAGAUAUGGAGUCUAUUUGAGCAGCUGGAGUUCAUAGACAACACUUUUCUAUUGCUAAGGUGAGACAAACAAGUAUGUGAUAUUUGGACGGACUUGGUGCUAUUGGACUUUUCUUUCGGAUUUUAUUUGGGCAUGGGUGAGAGUUGUCGGGUUUAUGGGCUUUUAUAUUACGGGAUAUUGUUGGUGGCCCGUCGUCCUUAGUGUCAGGGAGACGGAUGUCACAUUGUUGUAUGAUGACGCGUCGGGGGUGACACGCUGUCCUCCAUAUAGGAGGUGACGGGUGUCACAGACAUCUUCUCAACUCCUGCUCUCUCGAUUGAAAUAUGGUCGUUGUUAUAAAAAAAAUAGUGACCCUUAUUCUGGGAGGCGUGUAACGUCAAAAAGGCGUUGAACCCAUCGGCGUCGCCAUGAUAUUCAUUGACAAAAGGUAAUUGUUUUUAAUGAAAUGGUGAUUCUAAGAAAAUCCAGGCUAUGCCGUCACAAUUGACUUUUCAGAUAAAUGUUUUACCUGAGUUGGUGGUGGAAACGUUCUCAUUCUAAACAACCACCACGUCUCUUAGACAUCGCUAACGAUGUCUUCGUUGUCUUGGGCAGGGACGAGAGAGGAGAUAUGAAACUCUGAUGGCUGCAGUUGCAGAGAUCGUUGGCGGCUAGGGCAUUGCUGGGAAAGACAUGCAGUAACCAGAGAAUCGCUGCAAGAAGACGGGAAAUUAGGGUUUGUUCGCCGCCGGCGUCAGAGAUGAAGUGGAUUGUGCGGCUGUGGAGGGUACCGACCGAUGGAUCCCAGGUUAAUCCCUCCCAGUAGAGACACGGCGACCAAAAGUUGAUUAUAUUAUGCUUUGUGGCCCAGAAAGUUGAAAAUUGAUCAUAACCACGGCGUUAAGAUUGAGAGGACAAAAGAUGAUCGUAUUCGAUUGAAUGACAUGUUCACUUUGUUUUAAUUUUAUUUUAGAAAAUUUUAGAAAAUGCUCCGAUUUAAAAAAUAAACAGAUCAACUAAUGGGCCAUUUAUGUCACCAAUGGAUUUUAUAUCGUGUAAACUUUUCAGGUGGCUUAAACCCCAUUUCCAGGUUUACUUACAUUAUGUAGAACACUAUAUUAUGCUUGGACA